rnacentral:rRNA from 1 species
UACAGAGGUCUCAAGCGUUGUUCGGAUUCAUUGGGCGUAAAGGGUGCGUAGGUGGCGCGGUAAGUCGGGUGUGAAAUUUCGGAGCUUAACCCCGAAACUGCAUUCGAUACUGCCGUGCUUGAGGACUGGAGAGGAGACUGGAAUUUACGGUGUAGCAGUGAAAUGCGUAGAUAUCGUAAGGAAGACCAGUGGCGAAGGCGGGUCUCUGGACAGUUCCUGACGCUGAGGCACGAAGGUCAGGGGAGCAAACGGG